rnacentral:rRNA from 1 species
CCGAGUGGUAGGGACGAUUAUUGGGCUUAAAGCGUCCGUAGCCGGCUCAGCAAGUCCUUCGUUAAAUCCAGCGAUUCAAUCGUUGGACUGCGGGGGAUACUGUUGGGCUAGGGGACGAGAGAGGCAGACGGUAUUCUCGGGGUAGGGGUGAAAUCCUAUAAUCCCGGGAAGACCACCAGUGGCGAAGGCUGUCGGCUAGAACGCG